GGCGCUAUAGCCAAGUGGUCAAGGCGACAGACUAAGUUCCAUGGCGAUCAUAAUAAUUGUGCAAGUCUGUACCUCUCAGAGGGCGCAGGUUCGAAUCCUGCUGGCGCCA